CACCGGCGGACGGCUCAGUAACACGUCGGUAACCUACCCUCGGGAGGGGGAUAACCCCGGGAAACUGGGGCUAAUCCCCCAUAGGCCUGAGGUACUGGAAGGUCCUCAGACCGAAAGGGGCUUUGCCCGCCCGAGGAUGGGCCGGCGGCCGAUUAGGUAGUUGGUGGGGUAACGGCCCACCAAGCCGAAGAUCGGUACGGGCCAUGAGAGUGGGAGCCCGGAGAUGGACACUGAGACACGGGUCCAGGCCCUACGGGGCGCAGCAGGCGCGAAACCUCCGCAAUGCUCGAAAGAGCGACGGGGGGACCCCCAGUGCCGUGGCAUCGCCACGGCUUUUCCGGAGUGUAAAGAGCUCCGGGAAUAAGGGCUGGGCAAGGCCGGUGGCAGCCGCCGCGGUAAUACCGGCGGCCCGAGUGGUGGCCGCUAUUAUUGGGCCUAAAGCGUCCGUAGCCGGGCCAGUAAGUCCCUGGCGAAAUCCCACGGCUCAACCGUGGGGCUUGCUGGGGAUACUGCUGGCCUUGGGACCGGGAGAGGCGGAGGGUACUCCUGGGGUAGGGGUGAAAUCCUAUAAUCCCAGGAGGACCGCCAGUGGCGAAGGCGCUCCGCUGGAACGGGU
rnacentral:rRNA from 1 species